UACGAAGGGGGCUAGCGUUGCUCGGAAUCACUGGGCGUAAAGCGCACGUAGGCGGAUUGUUAAGUCAGGGGUGAAAUCCUGGAGCUCAACUCCAGAACUGCCUUUGAUACUGGCAAUCUAGAGUCCGGAAGAGGUGAGUGGAACUCCUAGUGUAGAGGUGGAAUUCGUAGAUAUUAGGAAGAACACCAGUGGCGAAGGCGGCUCACUGGUCCGGUACUGACGCUGAGGUGCGAAAGCGUGGGGAGCAAACAGGG
rnacentral:rRNA from 1 species